rnacentral:lncRNA from 1 species
AGAGAAAGCAAAAGGGAAUAAAAACUCUGCAAGACAACGUUUUGUGUUCCUUUCAGGAAAUGUCAACGCCAUGGAGGAAAGGAAAGGCAACAUCUUUCCAUCCGCAGGUGCUGGAGACGCGUCUGUAACCUGGGAAUCCAGAACCGAAUCCGAGAGGCGUUUUCCCAUCAGCCUGGCACUGCGGCUCCGGUGGAGCUGGCAGCGCUGCACACUCAGAAUGAGACUGGACUUGCCCCGGGGGACUCGGGGACCGUGCUGGGCUGUUACUUCACGCUUCUAUGUCUGCUGCGUCCCAGCGCCUCUCCAGCGCUAUUGGAAUAGAACCUCCAGCUCCCCCACCAGCCUGGAAGCCCCAGGGAGGGAGCAGCAUUCACUUUUUCAGCCACACGCCCCAGUCUCCUCACUUAUGGAGAUGCAUGCCCGUGUUGAAUUUUCUCAGCACCCCUCUUCGAUGUUCCAGCAGCCACCACUCCAGAAGCACAUCAAACUUGGGUUCCCUUCCUUUCCUGUUCAAAGUGAGGCAGUCCACAAUUAUUUGUAGGGGAUGUCAAGAGUCCAGAAAAGCUGACUUGGAUAGAACAAGAUGUGUUAGCGUGCAGCUUGCUAAUGCUUGUACCUUCUGUGGUGGAAGCAAAUAUGUAAGUAAAAAGAAGAUGAGCAUUAUUUUCUUGUGUGUGUGUGGGGGGGGCGGGGGUGGUGGUACUUGGCAUUGAAUCCGGGGGCAUUCUUCCAUUGAGCUAUAUCUCCAGCCCUUACUUUUUACUUUGAGACUAAAUUGCCAGGCUGGCCUCGAACUUGCAAUCUUCCUGCUUCAGUCUCCUGAGUCAUUGGGAUUACAGGCAGGUGCCAUCAGGCCCAGCUAGAAACCCAGUAUCCUUAUCUGCUAUUAAUCUCCUGGUUAUGACAGGACUUUUUUUUUUUUUUUUUAGUGGAGAAAUGGAAGUCUCUUGCUGGACUAAUUCUUCCUCAGACUGAAUUCAUUUCAGCAAAAGUUUCUGCAUGAAUCUUUCUCUCAGAAUCAACAAUAUUAAAUAAUCAUACCAAAACCUUUUGCUUAAUUUCCUCAGAAUAUCUCAAAGAAACACUGUUUCCUGUUGGAGGCAUUUCAUUUCAGGUUGAUGUCUCAUUAAUUUCAGAGUAAUACAAGACCUGUGUGUAAAUGCAGCGUUUGCAGUCAGCAGCACAGAGCCCGAAAAUGAGGUCUAAUUAAAUGAGAAUCUCCACACAGAACAAGUACCCUAGGAGUUCUAGAAAGAUGCAUGAUUCUCAGUUU